rnacentral:rRNA from 1 species
AGAACUUAGCAGAGAUGCUUUGGUGCCUUCGGGAACUCUGAGCAGGUGCUGCAUGGCUGUCGUCAGCUCGUGUUGUGAAAUGUUGGGUUAAGUCCCGCAACGAGCGCAACCCUUAUCCUUUGUUGCCAGCGGUCCGGCCGGGAACUCAAAGGAGACUGCCAGUGAUAAACUGGAGGAAGGUGGGGAUGACGUCAAGUCAUCAUGGCCCUUACGAGUAGGGCUACACACGUGCUACAAUGGCGCAUACAAAGAGAAGCGACCUCGCGAGAGCAAGCGGACCUCAUAAAGUGCGUCGUAGUCCGGAUUGGAGUCUGCAACUCGACUCCAUGAAGUCGGAAUCGCUAGUAAUCGUGGAUCAGAAUGCCACGGUGAAUACGUUCCCGGGCCUUGUACACACCGCCCGUCACACCAUGGGAGUGGGUUGCAAAAGAAGUAGGUAGCUUAACCUUCGGGAGGGCGCUUACCACUUUGUGAUUCAUGACUGGGGUGAAGUCGUAACAAGGUAGGCGUAGUGCU